AGUGAACGCUGGCGGUAGGCCUAACACAUGCAAGUCGAACGGCAGCACAGUAAGAGCUUGCUCUUACGGGUGGCGAGUGGCGGACGGGUGAGGAAUACAUCGGAAUCUACUUUUUCGUGGGGGAUAACGUAGGGAAACUUACGCUAAUACCGCAUACGACCUACGGGUGAAAGCAGGGGAUCUUCGGACCUUGCGCGAUUGAAUGAGCCGAUGUCGGAUUAGCUAGUUGGCGGGGUAAAGGCCCACCAAGGCGACGAUCCGUAGCUGGUCUGAGAGGAUGAUCAGCCACACUGGAACUGAGACACGGUCCCGACUCCUAAGGGAGGCAGCAGUGGGGAAUAUUGGACAAUGGGCGCAAGCCUGAUCCAGCCAUACCGCGUGGGUGAAGAAGGCCUUCGGGUUGUAAAGCCCUUUUGUUGGGAAAGAAAAGCAGCAGGUUAAUACCCCGCUGUUCUGACGGUACCCAAAGAAUAAGCACCGGCUAACUUCGUG
rnacentral:rRNA from 1 species